rnacentral:rRNA from 1 species
AGUGAACGCUGGCGGCGUGCUUAACACAUGCAAGUCGAACGAGAACGGAUUAUAGCUUGCUAUAAUUGUCAGCUAAGUGGCGCACGGGAGAGUAAUGUAUAGGUAAUAUGCCUCUUACUAAGGGAUAACAAAUGGAAACGUUCGCUAAUACCUUAUACUCCUUAUUAACAGAAGUUAAUAAGGGAAAGAUUUAUUGGUAAGAGAUUAGCCUGUAUUGUAUCAGUUAGUUGGUGGGGUAAUGGCUUACCAAGAAUAUGACACAUAACUGGUUUGAGAGGAUGAUCAGUCACACUGGAACUGAGACACGGUCCAGACUCCUACGGGAGGCAGCAGUGGGGAAUAUUGCACAAUGGACGAAAGUCUGAUGCGGCAACGCCGCGUGGAGGAUGACACAUUUCGGUGCGUAAACUCCUUUUAUAUGAGAAGAUAAUGACGGUAUUAUAUGAAUAAGCACCGGCUAACUCCGUGCCAGCAGCCGCGGUAA